rnacentral:rRNA from 1 species
AGGGUUUCCGCCCUUCAGUGCUGCAGCUAACGCAUUAAGCACUCCGCCUGGGGAGUACGACCGCACGGUUGAAACUCAAAGGAAUUGACGGGGGCCCGCACAAGCGGUGGAGCAUGUGGUUUAAUUCGAAGCAACGCGAAGAACCUUACCAGGUCUUGACAUCCUUUGACCACUCUAGAGAUAGAGCUUCCCCUUCGGGGGCAAAGUGACAGGUGGUGCAUGGUUGUCGUCAGCUCGUGUCGUGAGAUGUUGGGUUAAGUCCCGCAACGAG